GAUGAACGCUAGCUACAGGCUUAACACAUGCAAGUCGAGGGGCAGCAUGAUUGAAGCUUGCUUCAAUUGAUGGCGACCGGCGCACGGGUGAGUAACACGUAUCCAACCUUCCGUACACUCAGGGAUAGCCUUUCGAAAGAAAGAUUAAUACCUGAUGGUAUCUUAAGCACACAUGUAAUUAAGAUUAAAGAUUUAUCGGUGUACGAUGGGGAUGCGUUCCAUUAGGUAGUAGGCGGGGUAACGGCCCACCUAGCCUACGAUGGAUAGGGGUUCUGAGAGGAAGGUCCCCCACAUUGGAACUGAGACACGGUCCAAACUCCUACGGGAGGCAGCAGUGAGGAAUAUUGGUCAAUGGACGAGAGUCUGAACCAGCCAAGUAGCGUGAAGGAUGAAGGUCCUACGGAUUGUAAACUUCUUUUAUAAGGGAAUAAACUCUCCCACGUGUGGAGCUUGUAUGUACCUUAUGAAUAAGCAUCGGCUAACUCCGUGCCAGCAGCC
rnacentral:rRNA from 1 species